GAAGUCCCUUGAUAAUUGAAAAUUACUUGUGUUAUAAUAGAUGCUGAACAGAUGUUUAAGUGAGAAAUAGCUUUAUAUUUAUUGAAAGAAAGGUAAGUUUACAUUUCUGGUCAAAUUUUUUUUCCAUUUUUUACAUUCCUUAAUAAUUUGUUUUUGGAUGCAACAGAGAUAGCCUUAAAAAGUUCUCUUAAUAAUGGCCAAGAUAAUCAGCAAUCUACUGUGACUGAACUUUUGAGUAACAACUUGAUCCUUAGUAUAAUUCUAUGGUAUUUCUCAUCUUGCCAGUCAUCAGAGAGAGAUCAGCUGUAUGCACUUGUCAGUUUAGGAUGCUUUCAUCUGCAGAUGACAAUCAUUUACCAUCCACAAAAUUUUGUAUUGAAUUAUUUGCCCAAGAAACAAAUCAUGGCUCUCUUUUAUUGCCCUUUGAAACAGAUAAUCACGUGACUGAAGAAAGUUUUGAAUAUUUUAUUUUUUGCUUUUGGAGAGCUGGGUUCUAUUUGUAGGGAUCUUUAAUCUGAAUGUGCUCACAGUUUAUCUCUAUUUGCCCUAGUUCUUUUUUAAACCACCAAAGGUUAAUGAAAUACAUGAAUGCUUUGCUAGAGGAGGAAACUGAGGCUAAGGUAAAGAUAAACUUUGUUUUGUGAUAAGACUUUCUAAAAAACAAAUGUUCAAAGACUUUCUAUCCUAUUUGCUAGGAGGAGAAGCUUAGUCCUCCAAUUAAAAUCCAGCUCAUGUUUUUAAAUCAUGCCUGAAGAUCUUUGACCUUUGUUACAAUUCAUUUAUUAUGAUUUCAAAUUCCCUAUUUUCCAGUGGUUCACCAUGAGAGAAGAGCAUGUCCACAGAGAGGGCUCCAUAACAGAGGAAAAUACCAUCUUAGGUGCAGGGACUUGUAUUUAAACCACAAGUUUCAUUUUGACUUAGUGAUCAUAUUUUGUUCUCACUGUGUUCCAGCAUGGGUUUAAAUUUUUUUCCCCCAAGACAUUCUGAUUUAUCCAACAUGACAUAAUUGGAUCUAAACUUUUCUGCUUGCUGAAGUUGUCAAUUCUAUUUAGAAAAACAGAAAGAUGAAAGAGACUUUUUACUUACAGGAAUGCCAGGUUUCCCAGAAAGACCAGGAGCUCCUUUUUUCCCCUUAGGGCCCUGAAAAUGGGAAGCACACGUGUCAUUUGACAGUCACAGAACAGAAUGCUACAGAGGAUAUAAAAUUAUUCAAGUAGAGGGAAGAGAAGAAGAGAAACAGAAGAGAAGAAAGACUAUUAGACACUGGAAGGACCAGAGAAGAGUCCUUUGCUCUAUAUCUUUCCCUCAAAUCAGAGGAUGAAUACAAAUAAUAAUACUAUCAUAUUAAGUAUGGAGAUGUAGGCACAAGAAAAUGCUUAGAGACUAUUGUCUGCAUUGAGAAGUCUACAUAAAGUACCCUGAGUGCCAGCAAUUUCUUUUUUUUUUUAAUUUUAUUUAAGGAGAAAAAAGAAAAAAACAGAAAAAAGGUACAAGUUAUACAGAAUUUCAGAAAAAAAUAAGCAGUAGGAAAUCACUAGUUAAUUAUAUAUUGUCAUCUUAGAAAUAGUUGUUUAAGUUACAAAAUUAAAGCAUAUAGAGGGGACUUUCAAACAGUGAGACUGCAAACAGUUUUGUUCAAUGAUCCAACAAAACUCAGUAAUAUGGUUAUCUAUCUCAUACACUUAAAUAUAUAUGCAAUUAUAUCUUUUAGAGAACUUUCUUUUCCUUUCUUUUGUACAAUGACAAUUACACAUUUUGGGUUUUAUUACUCCCACAGUUAUUACUUUUUUUUUUUUUUUGAAGAAAGUGAAACCAAAUGUGACAUACCAGGACAGAGUCAGUCAAAUCAAAAGGAUGGACAUAAUACAUAAUGUAAAAACAAAAUACAAGGUGAUUAACAAUUACCAUAAUGCCUCUUGUUAUCUUAAAAAGAAUUGCCUAUAUCAUCAGUUAUAAUAAAAUUGAACAAAAUAGUAAAGAGUAAGACCAAUACAACCAAAACAUUGGAGACAUUAGAGGACUUCAAAAGAAGAUAAUAGUCAACCAGAAUGGGCAUCACAAGGAGUGCCAGCAAUUUCUGCAUGAUAUGUUUAGAGAGUGGAAUGUCUCUCUGAAUUCCCCAAGCACCCAACAUAAUAUGAGGAGUAACAAAAUGUUAUCUCCAUGUUGCUAAGUAUAGAAGAAUACAGCCCUGAGAGUCCUAUAUGAGGUGGCCUUGCUCUAAACUGAGAUGAGAAAAGAGCUGUGCAUUACAAGCAUGGAUCAAAGAAUGUCUGCCCAGGUCAAGACAGAUGCCAACAUAAUGGGGUGAUGGUUAUCAGGCCCCAAAGAAAUGACGUAUAUUUCAAUGGAUGUUAAUGUGAAUGGAUGGUGACGGAAGACUAAAGUCAUCUCUCAUUCCUCAUCACCACUACUGCAACCAUGAAUGUUACUACAAAUUUGUGAAAAAAGUAAAUGGGGGGAAAUUCUCAAUCAAAUGAAGAAUAUUUGCGUAGAUGGAGAUAAAGGCUGUCAACUGAUUAGAUUUUCACCUAUUUGGUUUCUAUCACCAGGUAAGAUGUAUAGUCAGGAAAGAUGUAAAAUCUCAUACAGAAUAUAAAGCUAUGUGUUUAGUAUAUGUAACACAUGACUCUUAUGCCAAAUAUUGAAAUGACAAAAUAAAAAAGAUUCAUGUAUUACAGCAAA